rnacentral:misc_RNA from 1 species
UAAUAAGUGUUUUAUGGCACUUUUUAAAUCCAUAUCCACCUUGUGUGCAAUGUCAGUCGAUCUUCUUCAUGGAGAUCGACCAAACAUCAACCUUUAUCUUAUAACUCUUUGUCUGAAAAAUAUUAUGAAUAAACAAUUCAAAAUA